CAGCCAAACCCUAGUCAAUCCUAUUCUAUCUUGCUGCUGCAGCCCUUCUCCUUCCCUGGUGUGGCAGCACCCUCUUGCUGUUGCAGCCCCUUCUCCUUCCUUGGUGUGGCAGUGCCCCCUUGCUGUUGCAGCCCCUCUCCUUCCCUGGUGUGGCGGCGCCCCCUUUGCUGCUGGAGCCCCUCUCCAAUCCAUGCUUGGUGAUGGCAAGGGCAGGCUUCAUGGCAGGGAGAGGCACGCAGGGAAGGGGAACGAAUUCGUGAUUCUCGCGUAGGUGGUGGUGCUUCGUCUCAUACUUGAAGUUCGCCGUUAUCGUCGGUUGAGGGCAAGUAAAUAUAGCUAUGGUGUUGCUACUGUUUUGACUUGCUAUCUUCAUCACUUACACCUUUAUUUCAGAACCAUGACAAAUUUGACUAUGAUCUGAAUUCUAUGCUGUUCUUUACCUUUAAGCAUAGUUAAUCAUUGCCUUAUGUCUAUCUUUAUGUUGCUACAAUUCUUGUUGAACUAUGUUGUUGUUCGACUUGAGAAUGAAAUUGAGGUAUUAUUGGUGGUACACCUUGGUACAAUUGCAGCAUAUUGCUGUCAUGUGCACUUGCAUUUGCAUAUGUAUUGGAAGUUAUGUCGUAAAUAUCACGACAGUACCGGUACGCAUCGUAUGUUGCCCGAGAAGGGGUGCGAUGUAAAAGAAGACAUAUCAUUGCAUUCAUAUGCAUUCAUAGAAGUUAAUAACAUUUAUAUGUUAUUGUGGAUAUAAAGUUAUACUUGUGGUUGUGACCUUUAUUUGAGGUUAUUCUUUAAUAUUGUUAAUACUAUACUAACAUGCCUUAUAUCUUGAGAAGUCCUAUAUUAAAUCGAUGCUUAAUCAACUUGUGAUUUAAAUAGCUUGUCAAAACAAGUUUGCUUGCUGAGAUUUUCAAUCUCACCCUUGCAUUACUCU